GUAGGGAAUCUUCCGCAAUGGGGCGCAAGCCUGACGGAGCAACCCCGCGUGAGUGAGGAAGCCCUUCGGGUUGUAAAACUCAAGUCACCUGGGAAGAGUGGUAUGGGGAGUGGAAAGCCCCAUACGAGACAGUACCAGGGGAGAAGCCCCGGCUAACUACGUGCCAGCAGCCGCGGUAAUACGUAGGGGGCAAGCGUUGUCCGGAAUCACUGGGCGUAAAGCGUGCGUAGGCGGUCUUUCAAGUCCGGGGUGAAAACUCAAGGCUCAACCUUGAGAAUGCCUUGGAAACUGGGGGACUUGAGUACUGGAGAGGCAAGGGGAAUUCCACGUGUAGCGGUGAAAUGCGUAGAGAUGUGGAGGAAUACCAGUGGCGAAGGCGCCUUGCUGGACAGUGACUGACGCUGAGGCACGAAAGCGUGGGGAGCAAACAGGAUUAGAUACCCUGGUAGUCCACGCCGUAAACGAUGAGUGCUAGGUGUUGGGGGUUCAUCCCCUCAGUGCCGAAGGAAACCCAAUAAGCACUCCGCCUGGGGAGUACGGUCG
rnacentral:rRNA from 1 species